rnacentral:rRNA from 1 species
CAGCCGCCGCGUAAUACGAAGGGGGCUAGCGUUGUUCGGAAUUACUGGGCGUAAAGCGCACGUAGGCGGACAUUUAAGUCAGGGGUGAAAUCCCGGGGCUCAACCCCGGAACUGCCUUUGAUACUGGGUGUCUAGAGUAUGGAAGAGGUGAGUGGAAUUCCGAGUGUAGAGGUGAAAUUCGUAGAUAUUCGGAGGAACACCAGUGGCGAAGGCGGCUCACUGGUCCAUUACUGACGCUGAGGUGCGAAAGCGUGGGGAGCAAACAGGAUUAGAUACCCCAGUAGUCCCUGUCUCUUAUACA